rnacentral:rRNA from 1 species
UACGAAGGGGGCUAGCGUUGUUCGGAGUUACUGGGCGUAAAGGGCGCGUAGGCGGCGCACCAAGUCAGGCGUGAAAGCCCUGGGCUCAACCCGGGAAUUGCGCUUGAGACUGGUGUGCUUGAGUACGGGAGAGGAUAGUGGAAUUCCCAGUGUAGAGGUGAAAUUCGUAGAUAUUGGGAAGAACACCGGUGGCGAAGGCGGCGACCUGGUCCUUGACUGACGCUGAGGCGCGAAAGCGUGGGGAGCAAACAGG